rnacentral:tmRNA from 1 species
GGGGGCGAUCUGGCUUCGACUAUGGUGAAUGGAGUCUGGACUGCGUGUCGAGGAGCUCAGGCCUCGUUAAAAAGAGCACAAAAUUUAAUUGCCGAUUAUGAAGCUUUACCUGUAGCAGCUUAAUUGCCUGCUACCGUCUUUCUCUUCCUACCCCUGGGGUAGAGAAAAGACGUCGACAACAGGGGGGCGCCAUAAAGUCUUUUCCUGACAGACUUUAUGGUCUAAUCAAUUCAGGAUAGGUUUUCAAUGUCAGCCUGAAUACUAAAGAAAACCGAAUAUUUAAUUUCAGGCUAAGCAUGUAGAGGUCCCGGCAACCACAUUUUAGGACGCGGGUUC